rnacentral:lncRNA from 1 species
UUGGUGCUCUUGUAACCAACAAGCAUCUCUCAGAACUUCACAGUAAGGGUCUCAUCCUUUAGCGGGAGGUAGUUAAUAUCGACGAAGAUGUUGUCGUUACAAAGCGAACAAUGAAAAUUGGCGACGUUGUGACAAGGUGGAGGAACGAUAAUUGGUUUCCAUCGAGGUCAUAAUUGAUUCCCAACACAUUUGUCUUCUAUGAGAAUUGAUUCUCUCGCUAAUUAACUCACAUAACCAAUUCUCAUAUGUUAAAAUUGAUUCUUCUCCUUCCUCAUUCGCUCACAGAAAUCGCAUUUCUUCAUCCAAUGGAUUCUCUCCCUCUCGAGAAUUUCUAUUUACCCCAUAGUAUCACACAACUUCACAACACAUCAGAGCACUCUUCAAACUCCCUCGCU